rnacentral:tRNA from 1 species
CAGGGAGACAACAAAAUGUUAAAUAUUAAUUUUGUCACCUUAGGUCGAUCGGUAUCUCACAUUCUUAAUUAAUUUAAGAAUUUUAUUUCCUAAGUUUUUCUAGGUCACACCCAUCAUUUUUCCUGGGCCAUUAGCUCAGGUGGUUAGAGCGCACCCCUGAUAAGGGUGAGGUCCCUGGUUCAAGUCCGGGAUGGCCCAUAUCUCUAUGUUGGGGGUAUAGCUCAGUUGGUAGAGCGCCUGCUUUGCAAGCAGGAUGUCAGCGGUUCGAGUCCGCUUACCUCCACUGAUUACCACCUCUUCCAUAAUUUAAAGAAGGGAAAUUUUGAGUUGUGAUCUGAAUCUGAACGAAUCUAGCUUCCUAAUUAAACUUAAUUAAGAUGCUGGACUCAUUGAAUUAAUUUCAUUGUUUUCAGAGAACCUUGACAACUGCAUAGAUUAUUUUUAAAGACAAUAAGCAUCUUUAAUGAUGCAGAUUUAUUAUUUGUGCGAAUGCAUUAAUAACAAUUCUAUUAAGCUGAUGCUUCAAUUUUUGAAGUUAUU